CUGCAGCUGUGUGCGCAUCACUGGCCAAUAGGCACUUUUUGGUCAUUGUUAUUUGGGUAUUGAUAGUGAUUUUUUUCUUUUCUUUUGUAGUUCAUGAUGUGGUAAAUUGAUAAACAUCUUUUUUAGGAGAGAGUAGCUGGUUUUUUUAAAUUGUUACCUGUGUGUGAGGGUAGGAUGCAUGGUCUGUCUGUCCCAAAACGCUGUUGAAAAAUUGCAAGUUGUUUCUCCUUUGGGGCUUUGUCCAAGCCUGUGGCUAUCAGUGACUCACCAGUGCUGGUGCUGUAGGUGCGAACAGUGGUAUCAGUCGGAGGUGGCGAGCAGCCUGAGUCUAUGGACGCUGUGUCGUCAUCUUGGGAACAGCCAGCCUGGAUGGCUCUCAGACGGGCACUUACCUGUCCCAUGCAGCUACGUCUGCCCAAUGUGCUGCAGGCCUGGCUGAAGUCAUCAUCUUCCCAGCGUGGCAAAGACAAGCCUGUACCCUCAAUGCAGUCAAGGUUGUCCAGGCUGCGGUUAUUGGAGAGCUCUCUGAGAGAUGGAAGACAGCUGGAAAGGGAUUAGGAUGAGAGGAAAAACAAGAUAAAGGAGAUGUGUUAAGGAUAUGAAACAGAAGAAGAAAAAUUAAAUCAAUGUCAGGAGUGCAUCAUGACACAUUCAGGGAAACAGUUCGUGUUUAUAUGUGAUGACGGAGGCAGAAAGAAAACAUGGAUUGGGGGAGAAAAUGAAUGAUCAGCAAAACCAGGAAUUGAAAGAGAGAUAAAAGGAAGAUAAGGUUGUUA